UGUACUUCCAUUUCACUUUUGAGCACAUUUGGUUUCCCUCUAAUUGAUAGAUACCCAAUCCUCUGCAAAACAGCUUCAUCAUUGGCCACAUUGCUCAUUUGAAAAUUAUCCCUCUCUUCUUCCUCCUCACUUUCGUUCUCUCUCUCUCAUCUUCUCUUUUCCCUGAAACCCUAGAAUAAAAAAAAAAACCCUAAACUCCUCUCUCUAUUCUGAUUCAGAUCUAGAAACAUGGAAGAAGGAUAUCAUUCCUCUCGCCGCCGCCACCAUCGUGUAUUCUGUCAUCGUCUCAUCGUGCCACCACCAAUGGUUUUGCCGCCGUCAUCUCUUCUCGCCACCACCACUAUUUUUGGCGCUGUCAUCUCUUCUCGUCACCACCACUGUUUUUGGCGCUGUCAUCUAUUCUCUUCGAAUGUGUAUCUUCUUGCCGACAAAAGAUUUUCUUUUCAGUGUUUUGAAAUGUAUCAGAUUUUCUUUUCAUUCUAAAUCGAAAGAAUGACAUGCCACCAAAAGAACUUGAUGUUGUCAUUUUCCAUGGUGCAUCAGGUUUAAAGAUGACAUGCCACCAAAAGAGAAAGAUCAAUGAAAGACAAAUCGUUCAUACGUUAUGGAAGGCCACACCGAAAUCAACUCAAACACAGAUGACAAAUAUGCGUUUGAGUGGAUUCCCGUGAUGGUGGAACUGGUUGGAAAGACAACUACCUGCAACAUCAAAUCCAUAAGAAAAACAAGUCCUAAAGAAUUUCCAAAUCACGCUGCCGAGACCAUAUUCAGAACAAAAGACAAGUCCAAGACCUGGCUCAAGCACUCAAAGGCAACAACAUCACCCUUUAGUAGCAUCAUAUAGGUUCUGGUUGUGCUAGCUUUCGGCAGUCCGUUUUAGAUUGCCAUUUAGUAGCAGUUUGGUGAGUAGGUUUGGUAGCAGUUGUGGUGAGCAUAUAUGUUUAUGUGAACUGUUUUAACUAAAUGUUUAUGAUCAUGUUAUUUUGCCUUCAAAUUUAUGGCCAUGUCAAGAAUUAUAUGAUUCGAAUCAUGUAGCGGUGCCAUUAGAUGAUCAUGUACAUAGUGAACCUUCCCUUGAUGGUAUUGAAGAGUUGGUCCAUGAAUUUAACAAAGAUAACAUGAUAGUUCUUUCUAUCUUUUAAGGGAGUAUGUGAUGUAUGAUGAUAGUUUUUGAAUGGUUCUUAUACCAAUUUAUAUCUGUUAUUGGAUUGUUCAGUCAUGGUUUUAGUCUAUAUUUUAACGUUGCAAGAUACUUAUAUUUGUGGUUUCAUUUGUAGGAUAGCUUUAUGAGUCGAUGCAGGUCUGGAAUCGUUUUAACCAUGUUAUACAUGCCUGCAAAGGCCUGUUCCUGCUCAAACGUUGAUAUUAGCGGGCUCUGGAAACUUCACUUUCCGCUCCUCCUUUGUCAUCACAAUGCUCAGCAGUUUCUUUUUAAGUUCUCCAUGCAAAUUCUCUUUUCAAGUUCUUUGCAAGUUCUCCAUAUCUUUAUUUUUUGUUUAGAAAUAUUCCAAGAUGCAAACUUGUCAUUAACCUGCUAUAACUUAUCAUUAAACCUUUGUGAACAGGAAGCUGAGAGAAAAAGGACAUGAACUACAAUGUGGCUAUCUACUUACUGCUAUUUCUAAUGUUCUUAGUUUCUCAGAUUUUGUCUAUUGUUGUCGUAUAGCAUGGUUGAGUUCAUAUCUUUUCACGUGGUUCGGUUAAGCUCUUUCUCAGGUGUGUUAUCCCAAAAUGAUUCACAAACAUAAACAUCUGCUUCUCAAACAACAUAUGAAAUCUAAACUUUCUCUAAAAUGAGAGAAGUCAAAACAAUUGGAGAAAUUAUUAUCCUCUAACAUGAGUCAUAUGCCGAUACCGUUGGAACUACAAUAUGCAAUUUAGAGCUAACAAUAGUAGCUGGUACAUGAAUAUCAAGUCCCUAAUUUUACAUCCAUUGAUAGUGCAACAUGUUACCUUUAUUCAUUUGUAUGGAAGUCUGUUUGUUUCCUGGCUUUCUUUGUACUUUAUACAUUUGUUUAGGGUCCUUAUAACCAUAUAAAUUUAUGUGUUAAGUUGCAUAUUAGGAAUAACACUACUUGCCAGUAAUGUAGUUGCAGUGAAGCAUUGAAUAAAUUGAAGAAUCAAAUAAAUUAACAGUAAUGCACAUGCAAAAUCUACACAUCCAUUACAUUUUGUACACACUGCUUUCUAUGAGUAUACCAUAAUUCAACUUAUGUACAUUUCAUAUAAUAUAUAGGGAAAUGCUUAAUGGUGCAACUCAUUUAUGAAAGCAUACGAACAACAUGGCAGAGCAGUAAAAAGUCUAUAACCUUGGCAUACAUCAACUGCUUACCUUAUUUCUUAAAACAACACAUAACACAUUGUUGUUUCACAGUUUGCAUCAAUAUAUGACUGACACGGUUGCCAUAAAAGUAUAUGUAUCUCCAUUAGAUUGUAUGGGUCUGUCGAGUUUACUAUUUUAAUCUUAUACACACUUCUCUGAGCCUAUGAAUUUGGAUUUUGCUUCGAUUUGAGGCACUGAAUAACUAUGACAUGCAAUUCUUAGUGGUAGAUAUAAGAGUUGUGGUCACCUUAGUUUUCAGUUAUAGAAGUCACAAAAUUGUUUCCUGCAUGAAGAAGAGAGACCCCUAAGAAGAGAGACCCCUAUUAAUUAAGAGCUUUGGUGUUUUAUCUAUACAUUUAUUUUUACUUUAUCUCAUUUUUAAAUGAAAAGCUGGAGGUUGCACACAUGAUAUACCUUGCACACAUGAUAUCCCUGCACUUUUGUUUAUUUGUCUCUAUUAUUGCUCCUUUUAGAGAAGAACCGCAUAACUCUCUAACAGCUCUUCUAUCACCGCUACAAAAUUUGAAGAUAUGAUUUUCUUAAUCCUUUUGUGUUGCCUCUUUGAAAAAUAUAGAUAACUUAAGCAUUGUUGAUCUUGUGUCUUACUUCAAAUUUAAAAUUAACUGUUAUCUUAAGUGCUGCUUGGGUAACAUCGUU